CAUAGGCCUAAUUUCUCUCAAAGCAGCCAUGGUAGCAAAUAAAAGGAUGGCAUUAUGUUGUAUAUUGAGUGAAUCUGGGGGUUUCCAGGUGAUUAUACAAAAUAUUUUACAACUUUGAAAAAAAAUCUAGCAUCAUUUUUCAGCAAUAGUUUUGUUAUUUAAAUUGUGCUGAGAAAUUUUCCUAGUCCUUGGUUGUUGCCAUUUAUAUGGGAUUUAUUCUGUGAUCAUAGCUCAGAGAUGCCACUUGCUGCUUGCUUUGGGGUGAGUAGUAAAUGCUUGUCAUUUGGGUGAAUAAUGUUAAGUGAGUAGCCAAGGGACAAAUAAUAUACCUUCUGCUCUUGUUCUCCAGUGCCUUCCUACUUACUCAGUAUUACUACUGGCGUGCCAAUUAUUUAUUCCUUCUUUUUAGAAGGAACAGUAUAGGUAUAUUCUAGAUACUUACACUAUUAAGUCUGGGGCAAACUUUGUAAUAUGUCCAUUCCAGUCAGACAAUUGGAUUUUAUAACAUUAUAAGGGCUGAGUGCUCUGACUUUCUUGAACCUUUAGAGUUCUAAUUCUCAGUCCCUGUGGAGCUGUAUAAGUUGUGGGGUUAGCAUAGUUGUACCCCACAGCAUGAAAGAUCUGGGACAAAGCCACAAUAACCUAUCAGAAGUAUGGGGAAAGAUAAAGCAAGUAAGGGGAAGUAGUGACCAUUUGUUGUGGUGCACCUCCCCAAUUCAUUUCAAUGUUUGUUAAAAUAGACAUUCUUGUGAAACUCCUGGUUAAUUUGUUUCACAAUAUACUGCACAACACACUCCAAAAAAUCUAAUUUGCAUUCUCACAAACUGUUCUAAAACAUUUUCAUAUGGUAUGAAAGAAUUUAAUUCUAAACUU